GGAGAGAUUUAUUAUUAUUCCAAGUAAUUGGAAUGCCUGCUUGCAGGCCUGGAUGUUUGCUUAUGCUUUCUUCAUUAUUAUUGAAAAUCUUGGUGUAAUGCAGAGUCCCGUAGCUCAGCUGGUUAGAGCGCUACACUGAUAAUGUAGAGGUCCGCGGUUCAAGUCCGCGCGGGACUACUAACGUAGUUUCGCGUAACAAUGUGAUAGGGAAUAUGUGUCAAUUUGAGGCCCUACUUUAUUGGAUGAACGAAACCUUUUAUUUUUAUUAGGGGGAUAGCUCAGCUGGCCAGAGCACCUGCCUUGCACGCAGGGGGUCAUCGGUUCGACUCCGAUAUCCUCCACUAAAGAAAAAGGAAUAUACAGAUACAAAUGAAGGGGUCACGACCUGGAAUUUAUUUUGUUGUUUCGAUUUUCAAUCGUUCUUUGACAUUCUGAUAGAGAAUUCCAAUGUUUUGUAAUUAAUUAUAAUUUCAAUUUAACUAGAAAUUAUCGUUGGU
rnacentral:tRNA from 1 species